AUCGAUGAAGAACGCAGCGAAAUGCGAUAAGUAAUGUGAAUUGCAGAAUUCAGUGAAUCAUCGAAUCUUUGAACGCACAUUGCGCCCUCUGGUAUUCCGGAGGGCAUGCCUGUUCGAGCGUCAUUACAACCCUCAAGCUCUGCUUGGCCUUGGGCGUCACCGGCAACGGUGGGCCCCAAACUCAGUGGCGGUGCCGUCUGGCUCUAAGCGUAGUAAUUCUUCUCGCUAUAGAUGUCCGGUGGAUGCUUGCCAGUAACCCCCAAUUUUUACAGGUUGACCUCGGAUCAGGUAGGGAUACCCGCUGAACUUAAGCAUAUCAAUAAGCGGAGGAAAAGAAACCAACAGGGAUUACCUCAGUAACGGCGAGUGAAGCGGUAACAGCUCAAAUUUGAAAUCUGGGUCUUUCAGGCUCCGAGUUGUAAUUUGUAGAAGAUGCUUCGGGUGCGGCUCCGGUCUAAGUUCCUUGGAACAGGACGUCAUAGAGGGUGAGAAUCCCGUAUGUGAUCGGUAGCCUGCGCCCGUGUGAAGCUCUUUCGACGAGUCGAGUUGUUUGGGAAUGCAGCUCAAAAUGGGUGGUAAAUUUCAUCUAAAGCUAAAUAUUGGCCAGAGACCGAUAGCGCACAAGUAGAGUGAUCGAAAGAUGAAAAGCACUUUGGAAAGAGAGUUAAACAGUACGUGAAAUUGUUGAAAGGGAAGCGCUUGCAACCAGACUUGCGCGUUGCCGAUCAUCCGGGGUUCUCCCCGGUGCACUCGGCCUCGCUCAGGCCAGCAUCGGUUUUGGUGGUGGGAUAAAGGCCUUGGGAAUGUAGCUCCUCUCGGGGAGUGUUAUAGCCCUCGGUGCAAUGCCGCCUACUGGGACCGAGGACCGCGCUUCGGCUAGGAUGCUGGCGUAAUGGUUGUAAGCGACCCGUCUUGAAACACGG
rnacentral:rRNA from 1 species